rnacentral:lncRNA from 1 species
ACAGCCAGCAGCGCAACCUGCCCGGGUCUACUUCCACACCGUAGAAGUUUUGUUCUUUUGCUCUUCACAACAAAUCUUAACUGCUGCUCACUCUUUGGGUCCACACCACCUUUAAGAGCUGUAACACUCACUGCAAGGGUCUGUGGCUUCAUUCUUGAAGUCAGCGAGACCACGAACCCACUGGAAGGAGCCAACUCCGGACACAGCCGAAAGACCUUGAAGAGAAUUCAAAUUAAGAAGAAUUAAAAUUAUGAACCAAGAAAGGCAGAAGAAGUGAAGUAUGUAAAAAUGUACUUGUUCAGUCUUGCUACUAUUUCCUGGAGUCAAUCUUGGUUUAAAACAUAAUAAGCAGACCCUGGCUUGUCAUACCUACUUUCUCCCAGGGAUUUGAGACUAUAAUAAAAGCAUUUUAACUCAGUGGUAACUGGAUUAGAGUAAUGCAAGAACCUGCCACCUUGGGACCUCCUGCUUGUGUCUCGGCCUGAAUAAAUGUGCAUGGAAAUUGUUUUAAACUGAAGGCUGUGCAAGACCACAAGUUAUAGUAAUGUUGACAGUCUCAGCUUGGAACCUGGCAAAAUAGCAAAAAAAAAAAAAAAAAAAAAAAAAAAAAAAAGGAGAACACGGAUUGAAAACAGCUCAUUUGCUGGCAUCAAAGCAAUGCUCAAAGGUUUAGAUGUAAAACCUUUGCAGGUCAAUGGUGACAAUAUUUGCAAAGUGCCGCCAGCAUCUCCACUGCAAAUUGAAGCAACUUAAUACAAAUCCUUGCUGCAAAUCUAAAGCAACUUGAUUUCUUUUCCAGCCUCUAGUACUCAUAAGAAGCCAUAAGGAGUAGUUUCUCAGACUUAAAGUGUGCGAAAUGAUACUAAAUCUUCCAUUUCCUGGAGGCCGGAUAGGAAAUGAAAAGGUAUAAAGGUAUAGUUGUCACAUUCUGUCACAGCUGAAUAUCAUGGAAAUAAUCCCAUCAGUUUGUUCCCUUCAAAAGUAGCCGGUGUUUCAUUGUGAGUUCUGCCUUCAUUAUUUCACAGGUUUAUUGUACUCUGUCACAGAGGCAAAACAUCUGUUAGCAAAGACAAGGAAGGAGAAGGAGAUCCUCUAUCUUCCUUAUGAACAUUCAAAGAAGUUCUGGUGAAUUUACUGCUGGUGAAAAGUGGCGGCUUGUCAGUUUCCAAAACCCCAGCUUUGGGGAGGCACCAAACUGUUCCUGACUAAGAGCAAACAAAUUGUGCAUUUUCUACACAGUAUAACUGCAUCUUAGUGUCAAAUUCGGCAAAGUGGAUACAGAAGGGAUGAUUCAGAAAGGACGUAAAAUUAGUAUUUUUGUUCCCCGUAAGUCAGUACAAUCAUAGAAGUCCAGAUCUGCUUGUUAUAAAGCCAAGUCGUUUCCUGAAAGAGAUUCACCUGGAGUCCAUCUUUUCAUAGAAUGUUAUUUGUGUCCAUAGAACCAGGCAAAAUAGCUCAAAUUAUAAAACUAUUUCAGCAAGAACUUAAAAAUAUCAUGUGGUUCUGUUUCCAUCUUUCAAGCAAAAUAGAUAGUACGGUCUCCAUUUUACAGAUCAGGUUUUCUGGGACUAGGAAGAUGUUGGUGUACAAAAGACAUUGAGGAAUCCAGGCUUAUGUGGAACAUGAAGGAUGAAGACCAGAUCUCCCCAAAUUAACUAUUAAGAUGCUUGGAGGGUCAUUACAUCUAGAAAUUCUAACUCUAAUCACUUUAAAAAAGUUAGUCACUUUUUAAACUAUAUAGUUUUCUUUCUGAAAACAGUUUAAGAUUUGGUAUAAACAGAACAUUUCUACUCACUUAUAAACAGGGUUCUCAUAAAUCUCUGUGGCUUCUGUACUAUGGUCCAGAAUAAGAAAUGAAUGUGAGGUUGGAUAAAGACUGAACACCUUGCUUUCCCUGUUUCUUACUAUUUAAGUGAAAAAUCUUCCUCAGAAUUAUCUCAGAAUAGUCACAUGGAAUUCCUUCUUAUCCCAUGCAAAAAUAUUGGAUUGAUGAGUAACUUCAACUAAAUCAAUUAAAUUAGUAUGUGUAAGGUAUUUAGGAUAGCAUCCAGCACAUGGUGCUGUGUAAGUGCCGAUUAUCAUACUUAAUGUUAAUUUAUUAUUUUUAUUUCUCAAUUCAGAUUUCUAGAUUAAAAUACAAUUAUUAGGGUCAUGUAAUUUGUCAAGGCCUCUUAGCAAAAUGAAAUUUACAAAACCUUAAAUUGUUGGCAGGAUAUGGACAGAAGUCCUUACUUUCUUUACAUAAAAUUUGACCACUGAUGUUCAAUUUUAAAACUAAUUUGUACGUUUUAUGUAUUCAUAACUGUAUAUGGUAUGAGAAAUAUUUUUCUAAAGAAAAUCUUGUCACUAUAAGAAUUAAUUUAAAAUAAUUUUAUAUAGUAUACAGAUUAACGAAGCUAUGUUACAACUUGAUGACAUCUUGAGUUUCACUUGAAGCUAUAAACCUCAUUUGUGAAUGAGUUUACAUGGGUACAUAUGGGUGUAAUUAUCUGGCUAG